rnacentral:rRNA from 1 species
GACGAACGCUGGCGGCGUGCUUAACACAUGCAAGUCGAACGGAAAGGCCCUGCUUUUGUGGGGUGCUCGAGUGGCGAACGGGUGAGUAACACGUGAGUAACCUGCCCUUGACUUUGGGAUAACUUCAGGAAACUGGGGCUAAUACCGGAUAGGAGCUCCUGCUGCAUGGUGGGGGUUGGAAAGUUUCGGCGGUUGGGGAUGGACUCGCGGCUUACCAGCUUGUUGGUGGGGUAGUGGCUUACCAAGGCUUUGACGGGUAGCCGGCCUGAGAGGGUGACCGGCCACAUUGGGACUGAGAAACGGCCCAGACGCCUACGGGAGGCAGCAGGGGGGAAUAUAGCACAAUGGGCGGAAGCCGGAUGCAGCAACGCCGCGUGCGGGAUGACGGCCUUCGGGUUGUAAACCGCUUUCGCCUGUGACGAAGCGUGAGUGACGGUAAUGGAUAAAGAAGCACCGGCUAACUACGU